UGUUGGUUCUCCCGCAACGCUACUCUGUUUACCAGGUCAGGUCCGGAAGGAAGCAGCCAGAGCAGACGACGUG
rnacentral:SRP_RNA from 1 species